AUUGCUGCAACUGGCCAGUGCCCAUCAGUAGCAGGAACGGAGGUGUGGCCGUGGCAAUGCUGAGCGUAGUUCCUACCGUAACGUACAUUAUCCUUAUGUCUCUAAUUCCCCAUCAUGGGUUCUAAGGGGGUCAAGGGCUCAGAAGAAAACUGAAAGAAAGCAGAGUUGUUAAAUGGCCUGUAGAGCUGCCUUUGGUCAUCACCGUAUGUCUAGUCCUGCCUGGAGAGGCAGAGCCAGGGACGUGAAGGCGCUAUUCAUGCUCCAUCCUUCAUGCCUUGUCAAAUAUCCAAAGAGUAAGCAAAGGGUGAUGGUCCUACAGACAAGCCUUCAUUAAAGGAGAAGCAUUUCUUGCCUUUCUCCUUUCUUCCCUAACUGUCUACUUUUGGGUUUCAAGAAUUUAAUGAUUAAUGUGAAAUUAAUAGGCAGGUGACUUCCUAUUCCUUUAAUCUGCAUGACUAUCUCCUCUGAGGUGUUAUCUUCUGGCUCCUCACUCUUGUGUGACCUUUGCAUUCUCUUCCAAAGUCAUCUACUUCCUUUCCAUAUAACUUUUCUCCAUCACUUUCUAACCACUUUUUUCUCCAGGCCUCGGCUCACCCCAAUGCCAGCUUCUAACAGUUUUCUGUUUUCAUUUUCUUGCUUGCUGUUGCUUCUUGUUCCAUGACACUUGCCACCUGAAGCUCAGGAAGAAGAAGAGGUUCAAGAAGAAGGUAUGUGAAACGUUUCUCAGCCCCCCUCUUUCCUGCAGCAGGGCUCGGUGCUGAUGUACGCCUUGAUUUUGCAAGGUGGUAGAAGAAAGCAAGACAAAGAUGCUGUGACAGAUGACCUACAGGCAGAGGGCUUUUCUUGUCCCUUGCAGAAGUUUCAUUGAGGGUGCCCCAUAUCCUUGCGGAGCAUACCUGUGCGGACAUCCAUACUCUGGUUUUGGGGAGGGAACAGCAGAGGAAAUGCAGAUACCAUCCCUUCAUUCAAGCCACAGCAGACUCCAAGGCUGAUUUAUAGCCCUGGGUAUUGGCAAUGCCUGCUGUGGAAUAACUGAGGUCUGCCUAGAGAGGUUUCUAUCAGGUAUCAACUGGUUUCUCAUAUGUAGCUUGGCAGAUAAUGAUUGGAUGGAUUUUGAAAUCAAAAUCCAUCUGUGGUAAGGUAUGUGUGUAGCCAUAUGUCACAUAGUACAUAUUCUAUAAUAUGUAAUAUUAUAUAUAGUACAUUGUAUAUAUUAUAAGUUUAUAGACUAUAAUAUAUCAUAAUAUAUAUAAUAUUAUUUAUAACAUAAAUAAUAAUCCUGUAGAAUGCAGAUAUUAUUAAUUGUAUCUAUAUAGAUGCUGGCAAGCAACCCCAGCUGGCUCCCUACAUUGCAUGAAGCAUUUGCAAGGUGGGACAGAGAGGGCAGAAGAAGGGCUGGAACAAAAACCCACCCUUUGCAUUUGAGAGGUUCAGGAUGUGGUGCUCCAGGUAUGAGGAGCCAAAGGGUGUGUUGGUUCUGCAUUUGCAAAGCUUUGAGCUAUGGGCAUUUGAAAAAAGGGUAAACCUGUUUAUAAUGCCAUGGGAGACCCACCCUGAGCAGUUUGCAGGGUUUUUACAGCAUCCACAUCGUGAAGGUUUUACAUUUCUUUACCUGUGUGAGCUUUGCUUGCCUGUCUCCAUUUCAUCUCCUCCUCUAUUCCAUACCCCAUGCAGUUUAUUUUUAGACACCCUGUUGCACUCACACACUCUUUAAUCUAACUGUUCUUGUUUUCCAUCUCAUUGCUCUUGCUCCCUGUCAUGUCCCACCUUAUGAAGCUCAAGAAGCAGGUACGUGCCAUCAACUUCCAAAUUGCUCCCUUCCAUCUCCUUGGUGGUGGCGGGGAUUCAAGGGUGGUACAAGAGAAGCAGAACUCGGUUGCUUUGCCUUAUCGCUCCUGUUGUCUUUUCUUUCCACCUCUCCUCUGUGACUAGCUCUGCCACAGGCUAACAACCAGGAAUGCUCUCAUUCAGUGCAAGGUCUGACAGAUGUUAGCUAGGUGGUAAUGCAGCCUCUCUAUCCCUCCUGCUCUGCACAGAGCUUGCCGUAAAGCCCAUCCUGGCAAUGGCAGGAGGUUGUUCCUCUAAAACUACAAUUAGAGAGAAAUUUCAGCAUGUGAUGUUUGAGCUUACUGUGAGAUUUUCCCUCUCUGAUACGUUUUUGCCUCUUCCCUUCCCAUGCUCAAGUUGUUUCCCAACCUCAUGUGCCUCAGAUUCCCUCCCCUCCUGGCCAUUAGUGCCUCAUUUAGUGGGACAGAACUUGUCCCUCUUGCUUAACAGGGUUUUCAGCCUGUGUAAUAUCAGUUCAUGUAAUAAUGUAUUUCUCCUAAUGUUCCUUUGCAUCCUGCCUUGUGGCUUUUCCCACUAAAGAAGCUCAGGAGGAAGAAGUCCAUGAACCAGCCCCCCCUCCAGGUAUGUGAUUUAACUUCUGAACUCCCCAGUGUCCAUCUGCUGGGACAGUGUGUGUGGAAAAUGAAUGCAAGGCAACCCAUCUGUUAAUGGUAGCUUGUAACUUGCAUGCCUUUCAGGUUGUUUAAUGUUUGUUUGGGGUUUUGUUCCUCAGUGAAAUGUAAUCAGCAGUAAGGAGGAGGAAACUCACCUGUUACAUGCACAUUUUACUAAACAGUAGGGGAACCCUUAUGCUAUUACAAAAGAGUAGUUCAGAAAAAAGUGUCUAUGUGGUAUGGGUUAAAUUCUGCACAGUGGUAUGAGAAAGCUUUGUUUCAAAUCUUGGGGCAGAGUUUAAUCUAUUGACUGUAUACAGGGAAUAUAAAUACUGCGAGAUUCUUCACUAUUUUUAUGCUUGCUUUGCAAAAUAGUGAUCCAUAUAUGGCUGAAAAGCAAAAUCUGCCCUGUAAAUCUACAUUGCUGAUUUAUUUCUGCUUUGCCAAAAAAACAGAAGAAUGAAACGUAGCCCUGCACAGACUUUUAAUGAACCCUUUCUUCCUAUGAAGUAAUCUGUUUGUAAUUCUACAUUACAAAUGGAUGUGAAGAAUAGCAGUACAUUUAUACAGACAUCAAAGUUGUCUUCAAGGAAGAAAAUGGCCUGAGUCAUAGAUCUAGAAAACAGAACCAAGCUUCUCUGGAAAUCAGCUGAAUGCUGAUGAUGACUUACAGCAGGCAUUUCAGUAGGUUUUGGAACCACGCUGUAUUUAUUUCAAAUGACUGAAACACUACUGUAAAAAAGGAUGGAUCCAAUUGCGGUUUGAGAGUGCUGACAAUGUUCAUGUGCAUAUUUCAAAUCAAGAUAAACCUUGGUACACCGUGCUUUCAGGUUGUAUUUUAUGUCAUAUAAUGCUCAAAAGUUUUUUCUAAGCAAUGCACUAUUCUCAUAAAUCUGCCUGUUUUACAUAACUGAAUUCCUUUCCUGUGCUCUGACUUCUGUUUAUAUGCUGUUUCAAAUUUAAUUGAUUUAUUUUACUUCAGGUUCACUUAUUAACUUCAUUCCCCUCUCCCCUUUUUGUCUCUGCUCCUCCUCCCAUUUGGCUCAAAAGCUCUUUUGGUGUGUGAAAUAAUGGUUUUCUUGUUCUCAUUUUCUUAUUUUCCACUGCAUCUUGUUCCAUGACACUUCACACCUGAAGUUCAAGAGCCAGGUAUGUGACAUGACUUCUGAUUUACUCUACCUAGUUGCAACACGUGUGUGUGUGUGUGUGUGUGUGUGUGUGUGUGUGUGUGUGUGUGUGAGAGAGAGAGAGAGA